rnacentral:tRNA from 2 species
UCCGGGGUAGCUCAGCUGGUAGAGCGUCGGUCUGUUAAACCGAUUGUCGUGGGUUCGAGCCCCACCCCCGGAG